rnacentral:rRNA from 1 species
GACCCGUCUUGAAACACGGACCAAGGAGUCUAACAUGUGUGCGAGCCAUUGGGCGAACUAAACCCAAGGGCGUAGUGAAAGCGAAGGGCACUUGGUGCCCGAGGGGCGAUCCCCUGUAGUGGGGGCGCAGCCCCGGCGCUUUGCGUCGACCUCGCAUCGUGCAGAGCAGCAAGAGCAUACACGUUGGGACCCGAAAGAUGGUGAACUAUGCCUGGCCAGGUUGAAGCCAGGGGAAACCCUGGUGGAGGACCGUAGCGAUUCUGACGUGCAAAUCGAUCGUCGGAGCUGGGUAUAGGGGCGAAAGACUAAUCGAACCGUCUAGUAGCUGGUUCCUUCCGAAGUUUCCCUCAGGAUAGCUGGCGCUCGUACAACGAGUUUCAUCCGGUAAAGCGAAUGAUUAGAAGUCUUGGGGACGAAACGUCCUCAACUUAUUCUCAAACUUUAAAUGGGUGAGAAGCGGGGCUUGCUUGAGUGAAGCCCCGCCUUGUCGAAUCGGAGCGGCCCAGUGGGCCAUUUUUGGUAAGCAGAACUGGCGCUGUGGGAUGAACCAAACGCCGGGUUAAAGUGUCCGAGUGGGUGCUCAUCAGAUCCCAUGAAAGGUGUUGGUUGCUUAAGACAGCAGGACGGUGGCCAUGGAAGUCGGAAUCCGCUAAGGAGUGUGU